rnacentral:lncRNA from 1 species
CGCGAUAUCACGGGUGUGUUCUAGUACUAGUUAUUGUCAUAGGUACUUGAGGACAGGACAAUUGUUUCAGCCUUCCCCUUUUUUCACCAAAUCUGUUAUUGUUUUUUGUUUUCUAAUAACUUUAAAAAAUAGGGGGAGGGCAGAAAUAAAUUGCCCUUUCCCAAGUACCUAUGUUAUUGUUAUUGUAUUUUUUCUAUUUCGAUCUGAUGAAACCCCGUCAUAUUCUGUAUGUGCCUGUCCCAAAAUAGGCGCCUGUAUUUCAUUGUUUUACGUUUUGUUAUGUGCAUAUUAACUCAAUUCGUUAGUUUUCAAGUUUAAUGGUUGAAAAUUUUAUUAUUAUUCAUUUCGGGGCCCUAUGGAGUUUUCUAUUGCUUAUUAAUGAAGGCCGAAUGGUAACCUUUAGUAUCUAACCUUCUACGGCGUCCAGUCUCUGGUGAAGAGGGCACCGGUGAAAAGAUGCUCAUUGGCAAUCAUACCACAUCGUCUUACUCUUAUAUCACCAGUAGUGGAUAAAACCGUAUAAGGUUAAUUUUGCACGAGAGAACCAAUCCUUACUUUUAUAUGUUUUCCACUACAAUACUUUCGUAUUAAACUGGGAGAUUGUUUUGGGUUAAUAGAAUAAAGAAUAAUGGUUAAAAAGGAAUCGAUAAAAAUGGUCCAUAUGGAAAAGAUAAAAAAAAAAAAUGGUCCUAAAGAAACAAAGAAUAGUUGAAAAAAAUUAUCCAAAAGUAAAAAAAAAAUAGAAAAAAAUAGUACGCAAUGUGGUCCAAAAAAUAAAGAAAUGAGAACAAUGGGGUGCUAACAUAUAAAAUGUAGGAAAAUGUAAGAAAAAUCAGACUACCGUUGUUUGUUUGUUGCCCCUGAAUUGGUAAUUUUAAGGAAAUUUUGCAGUUAAUCAAACUUGGCCACAAUCAUUUGGGUAUUUGGUUUAAAAAAAAAUGUGUCUGAUGACCGUGCCUGCCAACCAACAUAGCCGACAAAGUUAAUAAUAGAACAUAGGGGUAAAAUGCAGUUUUUGGCUUAUAUCUCUGAAAUUAGAGCAAAAGUAUAAUUAUUGCAUUAUUCCAUGCAUCAAUUGUAAAUAAAAAAUAGCAGGUGAGUGGCACAGGUGUCUUGGAGCCUGUAGUUUUUAAUCAUAUGGCUUAUUACAAGCAUAUCAAUCAAGUAAAAGAUAUAGACAAUACAUUAUCUAUAAUUGUGCUCUUAGGAUAUGAAAACGCGGUAAAAUUAAAACAAAUCCUUCACAAAAUAUUUGAAAUUCUUAUGAUUAAAAUUGAUAAUGGGAAAUGGGUAAUGUGUCAAAGAGACAACAACCGACCAUAGAGAAGACAACAGCAGAAGGUCACCAACAGGUCUUCAAUGCAGCGAGAAAUUCCCGCACCCGGAGGCGUCCUUCAACUGGCAUCUAAACAAAUAUAUAUACUAGUUCAGUGAUAAUGAACGCCAUACUAAACUCCAAAUUGUACACAAGAAACUAAAAUUAAAAAUAAUACAAGACUAACAAAGGCCAGAGGCUCCUGACUUGGGACAGGCGCAAAAAUGCGGCUUUGUAUUUACUUUGUAUUUUGUGUGCAACACCUGACCGACACCUAACAGCCUAAUUUAUUACAAAACAAUUUACGAAAAAAAAAAAAAUAUGACUGACAUUCACUUAACUACAGGCUCCUGUGUUAGGACAGGCACACAACGACCUUUCUACUUACGGCCUAAAACUAUGACCAAACCCAUACCAUAUAUUAAGCUAUAAAAGACCCCGGAUUGGCCAAAUGUGAAACAAUUCAAAGAUGGAAAGGGC